UGGAGGAGAACUUAGGGUUCACAAAAUUGAAGAGAUAAGGAAGAAAUUGAAACCAAAGAGAAGAUGCAAAGCCUUUCCCAAGGUUCUUGGCAACUGCUCCAUGCUCCAUUUGCGCCUCCCCUUCGCAUCUCCAUCUCCAAUUUGUGACCCAUCUUCUUCCUCAACCCAAAAGGGGCAAAAUCACCAUUGAAGAAGCUUGAAGACCCAAGGAGGAGUGGGAGAGCUUCCCAACACCCCAAAUAGCCUCCAAGGGCCUCUCCCAAUCUCUCUAGGUGAAGAAUGAAGUGUAGGAGGAGAAGUCCCUCAAAAAUCGUGAGACCCAUGUUUAAAUAACCCAUUUUGACAUAUCAGCGA
rnacentral:lncRNA from 1 species